rnacentral:rRNA from 1 species
UACAGAGGUCUCAAGCGUUGUUCGGAUUCAUUGGGCGUAGAGGGUGCGUAGGCGGCGCGGUAAGUCGGGUGUGAAAUCUUGGAGCUUAACUCCGAAACUGCAUUCGAUACUGCCGUGCUUGAGGACUGGAGAGGAGACUGGAAUUUACGGUGUAGCAGUGAAAUGCGUAGAGAUCGUAAGGAAGACCAGUGGCGAAGGCGGGUCUCUGGACAGUUCCUGACACUGAGGCACGAAGGCCAGGGGAGCAAACGGG